CUUACAUAUUCAUCUUCUAGAGUCAAUAAAUUUGGCUCUUGUUUUUAUCAUGCAUGGUUUAUUUAUAUACAUGUCCCAUGUCUGUGUUUUUGGAACUACUUGGAGGUGGGUUACCUGAACCAUAACAUUACAUUUCUAAAAUCUUUCUUGCACAUAUAUCAUGAAAAGAAAAACAGCAUCUUCCUAUAUCAACAAGUGAAUUUGAUCAUUUGCAAUAAGAGGAAAACCCCUACACUACUGUAAUCUUGCCCAUAGACAAUUGACUGAUCAAUCAUGCAUUGAUAAGCUUUAAAUUAUCUCUUAAAGCUGGUCUUUUAAAAUGAGUGUCCAAUCAAUGUUUGUAGUCUAUAUCUGAUGUUAUUUGUUUUAAUUGAUAAUUGAAUUUUGUACUUUAAAAUCUGAUUGAAAAACAUUACACAUGACAUCCUAGAGAAGGAAAGUGAAAAAUAUUUAUUUUAUUAUGCGCGCGUGCGCACACACACACACACACACACACACACCUCACUCACACAAACACACACCACCACUCACACACACACACACACCUCACUCACACAAACACACACCACCACUCACACACACACCACCACUCACACACACACACACACCUCACUCACACAAACACACACCACCACUCACACAAACACACCUCACUCUCUCACACAUGCAUACACACCCACGCACACACCCCAAUCACUUACACACACACCCCACUCACACACACAUCCUAUACUACUCACACGUACACACACACCUCACUCACACAAACAUACACCACCACUCACACACACACCUCUCUCUCUCUCUCUCUCACAUACACACACCACUCACACACCCCAAUCACUCACACACCCUACUUACGCACACAUCCCAUACCACUCACACAUACACAUAUCCUUCCCUCCCUCCCCC
rnacentral:lncRNA from 1 species